rnacentral:rRNA from 1 species
GACGAACGCUGGCGGCGUGCUUAACACAUGCAAGUCGAGCGGUAAGGCCCUUUCGGGGGUACACGAGCGGCGAACGGGUGAGUAACACGUGGGUGACCUGCCCUCAGCUCUGGGAUAAGCCUGGGAAACCGGGUCUAAUACUGGAUAUGACUCCAUGACGCAUGUUGUGGGGUGGAAAGCCUUGUGCGGCUGAGGAUGGGCCCGCGGCCUAUCAGCUUGUUGGUGGGGUGANGGCCUACCAAGGCGACGACGGGUAGCCGGCCUGAGAGGGCGACCGGCCACACUGGGACUGAGACACGGCCCAGACUCCUACGGGAGGCAGCAGGUGGGGAAUCUUGCGCAAUGGGCGAAAGCCUGACGCAGCGACGCCGCGUGAGGGAU